rnacentral:rRNA from 1 species
ACGCGUGAGGAACCUGCCUUUCAGAGGGGGAUAACGUCUGGAAACGGACGCUAAUACCGCAUGACAUUUUGUUGCCGCAUGGUGAUAAAAUCAAAGGAGCAAUCCGCUGAGAGAUGGACUCGCGUCCGAUUAGCCGGUUGGCGGGGUAACGGCCCACCAAAGCAACGAUCGGUAGCCGGGCUGAGAGGCUGAACGGCCACAUUGGGACUGAGACACGGCCCAGACUCCUACGGGAGGCAGCAGUGGGGGAUAUUGCACAAUGGAGGAAACUCUGAUGCAGCAACGCCGCGUGAGGGAAGAAGGUUUUCGGAUUGUAAACCUCUGUCCUCAGGGACGAUAAUGACGGUACCUGAGGAGGAAGCUCCGGCUAACUACGUGCCAGCAGCCGCGGUAAUACGUAGGGAGCAAGCGUUGUCCGGAUUUACUGGGUGUAAAGGGUGCGUAGGCGGCACUGCAAGUCAGGUGUGAAAACCAUGGGCUUAACUUAUGGAUUGCACUUGAAACUGUGGUGCUUGAGUGAAGUAGAGGCAGGCGGAAUUCCCGGUGUAGCGGUGAAAUGCGUAGAGAUCGGGAGGAACACCAGUGGCGAAGGCGGCCUGCUGGGCUUUAACUGACGCUGA